rnacentral:rRNA from 1 species
CCUACGGGAGGCAGCAGUGGGGAAUAUUGGGCAAUGGGCGCAAGCCUGACCCAGCAACGCCGCGUGAAGGAAGAAGGCUUUCGGGUUGUAGACUUCUUUUAAGAGGGAAGAGCAGAAGACGGUACCUCUUGAAUAAGCCACGGCUAACUACGUGCCAGCAGCCGCGGUAAUACGUAGGUGGCAAGCGUUGUCCGGAUUUACUGGGUGUAAAGGGCGUUCAGCCGGGAAGACAAGUCAGAUGUGAAAUCCCGCGGCUCAACCGCGGAACUGCAUUUGAAACUGUUUUUCUUGAGUACCGGAGAGGUCAUCGGAAUUCCUUGUGUAGCGGUGAAAUGCGUAGAUAUAAGGAAGAACACCAGUGGCGAAGGCAGAUGACUGGACGGCAACUGACGGUGAGGCGCGAAAGCGUGGGGAGCAAACAGGAUUAGAUACCCGAGUAGUC